AUACGGAGGGUGCAAGCGUUAAUCGGAAUUACUGGGCGUAAAGCGCGCGUAGGCGGUUUGAUAAGUCGGAUGUGAAAUCCCCGGGCUCAACCGGGGAAUUGCAUUCGAUACUGUCAGGCUAGAGUGUGGUAGAGGGAAGUGGAAUUUCCGGUGUAGCGGUGAAAUGCGUAGAUAUCGGAAGGAACACCAGUGGCGAAGGCGGCUUCCUGGACCAACACUGACGCUGAGGUGCGAAAGCGUGGGGAGCAAACAGGAUUAGAAACCCCAGUAGUCC
rnacentral:rRNA from 1 species